GAAAUAAAACAUAUUUUUAAAGAUCAAAACAAUAUGAGUCUUAAAUUCUUGAACCUGUAUUUGAUAGCUACAAAUCUACUGUUUAACGUGAAAUAAGAAUCAUGCUGGUAGGUUUGAUAUAAAGGAUUUUUUGGAGAGUUUAAUUAAGAAGCAAAUAUAUGUUAAUAUUCGGGAAAACACGAAACUGAGGUUGCUAUAGCGACAAAACUAAGUCGGUGACCCCCAAUUUUUUUCAUCAUUUUUGUUCCUCAAAUCAUGAAAUACCUUCACACAAAAUUUUAAGGAAAAAUCACUGGUAGAAAUAAAUAGGCUGUUUGGUCUUUAA
rnacentral:lncRNA from 1 species